GACGAACGCUGGCGGCGUGCCUAAUACAUGCAAGUAGAACGCACAGUUUAUACCGUAGCUUGCUACACCAUAGGCUGUGAGUUGCGAACGGGUGAGUAACGCGUAGGUAACCUGCCUGGUAGCGGGGGAUAACUAUUGGAAACGAUAGCUAAUACCGCAUAAUAUUGAUUAUUGCAUGAUAAUUAAUUGAAAGGUGCAAUUGCACCACUACCAGAUGGACCUGCGUUGUAUUAGCUAGUAGGUGAGGUAACGGCUCACCUAGGCGACGAUACAUAGCCGACCUGAGAGGGUGAUCGGCCACACUGGGACUGAGACACGGCCCAGACUCCUACGGGAGGCAGCAGUAGGGAAUCUUCGGCAAUGGACGAAAGUCUGACCGAGCAACGCCGCGUGAGUGAAGAAGGUUUUCGGAUCGUAAAGCUCUGUUGUAAGAGAAGAACGGGUGUGAGAGUGGAAAGUUCACACUGUGACGGUAUCUUACCAGAAAGGGACGGCUAACUACGUG
rnacentral:rRNA from 1 species